AAGAAUGCAGUGGUGAUAGUUGUCAUGCUACAGCCUGAGAACGCUGGGCAGCACCACACCCUCCAAUGCACACUGCCUUCUAGUUGUGCCAACUCGAACCACCCUUUGGCUGUGCUGCCAAGCAUGGACCCCAGUGUUGUGGGUGGGAAAUCCCCUUUCAUCCUCGAGAGCUCCCUGCUUCCCUUAGAUUAUUUCAAUACGGUGAUUAGCAAAUAAGGAUUUGCUAGCAGAAAAGGGACUAACGUCCCAUUCCUCUUUUCUGCUGUGUCCACUGGCUAGAGAGCAGGCUGUGUGUGGUUGGGCAGACACCUGGGAGGAGUCCCCAAGCCAUGUGCAUAGCACACACAUGCAGUGCACACAAAGAAAUGACAUGGAAAUAGAUGCAGGCAGGCUGGUCCCUGCUGUGAUUAAUGAGUAACUCCAGGUACAAGUCCGACCACAAUGGAUGCUGCAAAAACGUUGACUGGGGCAAAGGAUUUUUUGUUUUAUUUUUUAUUUUGUUAUUAUUGUUUUUAGGGGAUGGGAGGUGAUGUGUGUUUUUCUCCCCUUGGUUUUCAUUUGCUCAAUACAAAAGGGACUUUUGUUUACUCUAUCAUGAACAAAGGAACUGUCCACAUACUGUAAACCAUGAGCAGUGUUGUUGUUUUAAACAGUUAUACAGUAUAUUUGGUGGUCUCUUUGUCUGUUUUUAUUUCCAGUUGGAUCUUCUGGGUUUAGUUUUGUCUUUAAAAAGAAUUCAAAAAAAGACUGACAAUGACAGUUUUGAGUUGGAUAGUGAAAAAGUGGAGCCUCCAUAAUCAGUUGGUUGCCUUCAGACCUAAGUACUUAGCUGAGGGUGAGAGCCCUUUGUUCCAAAAGUCCAUUGCAGUUUUGCUGUUGUUUAGGGGUAGGUGAUGGUGGUGGUUGUUUUCACUUUUUUUUUUUUUUGGCUUUUGUAAUGGAAUCCAUGUUCACAUCCUGUAAACUCUGUCCCCUGAAACCCUGAAGUAUUUUCUAGAAAUUGAAAUACUGUUUUCUUCCUUGAAUUUUCUCUAGAAAUGCAGAAAUUAGGAAGGCGAUGGGUCUGUAUCCCCCGACCCCUUCUUUCCCAUGCUUGACUCCCGAGAGUACUGGCUGUACAGCACCCAUCAUUGACAUGAGCGGCUGUCUUGUCCAGUAUUUGUGGGCCUCACUGCCUCAGCUGUUAAGGAGACCUGUGUCAAAACUUACAUCCACAUUCCUACGCCCCCACAACCCAUCACUUCUGGUGUUAACCCUAAAAUACCCACAUGUAUUGAGCUGGUCUUCUGCAUUUAAGUAUUUCUUCCCAUUUGUUUUCCCCACUGUGUGUGGGGGGAGGGUCCAUAAACCCGAGUGUGCCUUUGCUUUCCACCCUUGCUAGACACUGGUAGAUGCAACAAAUUCAGAUUUGUAUUUGUUAUAAAGUUGUAAAAAUAUUGUGAUGUCACCAAUUUUCCUUCCAUCUCCACAUCCCCUAACAUCUGAUUCACGACUUAAUGUAUGUUGUAAAAAAGGAAAAAAAAAAAAAAAGAAAGAAAGAAAGGGAAAAAAGGAAAAAAGCAAGGAAAAGGCUCUUUAUUACUUAAAAGUAAUAAAACCUGACUGUUCUACAUUA